rnacentral:rRNA from 1 species
UACAGAGGAUGCAAGCGUUAUCCGGAAUGAUUGGGCGUAAAGCGUCCGCAGGUGGUUUUGUAAGUCUGCUGUUAAAGCGUUAGGCUCAACCUAAUAAGGGCAGUGGAAACUAUGAGACUAGAGUAUGUUAGGGGUAGAGGGAAUUCCCAGUGUAGCGGUGAAAUGCGUAGAGAUUGGGAAGAACAUCGGUGGCGAAAGCGCUCUACUGGACGGUGACUGACACUCAGGGACGAAAGCUAGGGGAGCGAAUGGG